AAAUUGAAGAGUUUGAUCAUGGCUCAGAUUGAACGCUGGCGGCAGGCCUAACACAUGCAAGUCGAACGGUAGCACAGAGAGCUUGCUCUUGGGUGACGAGUGGCGGACGGGUGAGUAAUGUCUGGGAAACUGCCCGAUGGAGGGGGAUAACUACUGGAAACGGUAGCUAAUACCGCAUAACGUCGCAAGACCAAAGAGGGGGACCUUCGGGCCUCUUGCCAUCGGAUGUGCCCAGAUGGGAUUAGCUAGUAGGUGGGGUAACGGCUCACCUAGGCGACGAUCCCUAGCUGGUCUGAGAGGAUGACCAGCCACACUGGAACUGAGACACGGUCCAGACUCCUACGGGAGGCAGCAGUGGGGAAUAUUGCACAAUGGGCGCAAGCCUGAUGCAGCCAUGCCGCGUGUAUGAAGAAGGCCUUCGGGUUGUAAAGUACUUUCAGCGAGGAGGAAGGCAUUAAGGUUAAUAACCUUGGUGAUUGACGUUACUCGCAGAAGAAGCACCGGCUAACUCCGUGCCAGCAGCCGCGGUAAUACGGAGGGUGCAAGCGU
rnacentral:rRNA from 1 species